rnacentral:rRNA from 1 species
AAUGAACGUUGGCGGCAUGGAUUAGGCAUGCAAGUCGAGCGAGAAGAGUUUUGAAGCUUGCUUUAGAACUCGGACAGCGGCGAAAGGGAGAGUAACGCGUAGUUAUGUGCCCUAGGGUCCGGAAUAGCCACGGGAAACUGUGGGUAAUGCCGGAUAACAUCCCCGGAUCAAAGGUGUGAUUCCGCCCUAGGAGCAGACUGCGUCCUACUAGCUAGUUGGUGGGGUAAUGGCCUACCAAGGCAACGAUGGGUAGCGGGUGUGGGAGCAUGACCCGUCUCACUGGGACUGAGACACUGCCCAGACACCUACGGGUGGCUGCAGUCGAGAAUCUUCGGCAAUGGGCGAAAGCCUGACCGAGCGACGCCGCGUGAGGGAUUGAAGGCCUUCGGGUUGUAAACCUCUUUCGUAGAGGAGGAAGGGGCCGUGAAGAACGGUCUUUGACCUAUUCUAGGAAGAAGCUUGGGCUAAGUUCGUGCCAGCCGCCGCUGUAACAC